rnacentral:rRNA from 1 species
UAGAGUUUGAUCAUGGCUCAGAACGAACGCUGGCGGCGUGCCUAACACAUGCAAGUCCGACGUGAAAGGGGAGCAAUCCCCCGGUAGGGUGGCAAACGGGUGAGUAAGACAUGGGUGAUCUGCCCUGGAGAUGGGGAUAUCCCUCCGAAAGGGGGGGCAAUACCGAAUAGUAUCCGGUUCCGUGAAGGGGACCGGGGAAAGGGAGGCCUCUGGUACAAGCUUCCGCUCCUGGAUGAGCCCAUGGCCCAUCAGCUAGUUGGUAGGGUAAAGGCCUACCAAGGCAACGACGGGUAGCUGGUCUGAGAGGACAACCAGCCACACUGGCACUGAGACACGGGCCAGACUCCUACGGGAGGCAGCAGUGAGGAAUAUUGCGCAAUGGGGGAAACCCUGAUCCAGCAAUGCCGCGUGGGCGAUGACAGCGCUCUGCGUUGUAAAACCCUUUCGGCGGGGACGAAAAGCCGGGCGACAAUACCGCCCGGUGUUGACGGUA